CUACGGGAGGCAGCAGUGGGGAAUAUUGCACAAUGGGCGCAAGCCUGAUGCAGCCAUGCCGCGUGUGUGAAGAAGGCCUUCGGGUUGUAAAGCACUUUCAGCGGGGAGGAAGGCGUUAAGGUUAAUAACCUUGGCGAUUGACGUUACCCGCAGAAGAAGCACCGGCUAACUCCGUGCCAGCAGCCGCGGUAAUACGGAGGGUGCAAGCGUUAAUCGGAAUUACUGGGCGUAAAGCGCACGCAGGCGGCCUGUCAAGUCGGAUGUGAAAUCCCCGGGCUCAACCUGGGAACUGCAUUCGAAACUGGCAGGCUAGAGUCUUGUAGAGGGGGGUAGAAUUCCAGGUGUAGCGGUGAAAUGCGUAGAGAUCUGGAGGAAUACCGGUGGCGAAGGCGGCCCCCUGGACAAAGACUGACGCUCAGGUGCGAAAGCGUGGGGAGCAAACAGGAUUAGAACCCCUGUAGUC
rnacentral:rRNA from 1 species